AACUCAGUGGUCCAAUGGUAAAGUGUUCGCCUCGGAGCCAGAGGGUCCUUGGUUCAAUCCCUGACUAGGUUG
rnacentral:tRNA from 1 species